rnacentral:lncRNA from 1 species
UUUUUUUUUUUUUUUUUUUUUUUUUUGGUAUUAGGAGUCAUAUAACUGAAAUCCUAGACGGUGGUACAUAAAUUGAGCAGUGUAUGCUUGGCUGAAAGACACAUAAACAAAUAAAGAGGCUUCAUUUCAUGCAAACUUCUCAGUGGAACGACAUGCCCUACGGAUCACUGGGCCCGGGAAUGUUUUUCAUCUGUUUGGGAGCACACCCUAUGGUCCUGCAUCCUGUGGCAUGAGCAAUGAGACUCACAAGGACUAGGCCUUAAUGCUUAAGGCCAUUAAUUCAAGACAACCAACGCCAGCAGCACACGAGCAUUCAGAAGCGAGAUUCUGAGUUCUUUCCAACCCGCACGUCGACUUCAAG